GUGCUUAACACAUGCAAGUCGAGGGGAAACGACAUUGGAAUCUCGCUUCCGGUGGGCGUCUACCGACCGCACUGGGUGACUAACUCAGUAUCCAACCUGCCCACCAGUUGGGAAUAACCUUGUAAAAGUAAGACUAAUGCGCAAUGACCUUGAAAGAACACAUCUGAUUCUGCUACAUAUUAUCGGUCAUGGAUGGUGAUACGUCCCAUUAUCUUGUUGGCGGGGUAACGGGCCACCAAGGCAACGAUCGGAAGGGGUUCUGACAGGAAGGUCCCCCACAUUGGAACUGAGACACGGUCCAAACUCCUACGGGAGGCAGCAAUGAAGAAUAUUGGUCAUUGGGCGAUAGCCUAAACCAUCCUACUACCAUGCAGGAUGACCGACCUAUGGGUUGUAAACUGCUUGCAUAAUGGAAUAAAGUGAGGCUCGUGAGCUCUUUAGCAUGUACCUUAUGAAUAAAGACCGGCUAAUUCCGUGCCAUCAGUCGCGGUAAUACGGAAUGUCCGGGCGUUAUCCGUAUUUAUAGGGUUUAAAGGGAGCGUAGGCCGCAGGUUAAGCGUGUUGUGAAAUGUAGGGGCUCAAUCUCUGCACCGCAGCGCGAACUGUCUUGCUUGAAUACGCACAACGUGGGCGGAAUUCGUGGUGUAUCGGUGAAAUGCUUAAAUCUCACGAAGAACUCCGAUUGCUAAAGCAGCUCACAGGAGCGCAAUCGACGCUUGAGCUCGAAAGUGCGCGUAUCGGACAGGAUAAGAUAGCUAUGGUAGUCCGCACGGUAAACGAUGGAUGCCCGCUGUUGGCCUGAAUAGGUCAGCGGCCAAGCGCAAGCAUUAAGCAUCCCACGUGGGGAGUACUCCGGCGACGGUGACACUCAAAGGAAUUGACGGGGGCCCGCACAAGCGGAGGCACAUGUGGUUUAAUUAGAUGAUACGCGAGGACACCUUACCCGGGCUAGAUUUGCAGAGGAAGGAUUUGGAGACAAUGACUCCCCUCGGGACCUGUGUGAAGGUGGUGCAUGGUUGUCGUCAGCUCGUGCCGUGAGAUGUCGGCUUAAUCGCCAUAACGAGCGCAACCCCUGUCCUUAGUAGCCAUCAGGUAAGGCUGGGCACUCUGGGGACACUGCCACGGAUAAGGUGUGAGGAAGGUGGGGAUGACGUCAAAUCAGCACGGCCCUUACGUCCGGGGCUACACACGUGUUACAAUGGCAGGUACAGAGAGACGGUAUGAUGCGAAUCAGAUCCAAUCUUUAAAGCCUGUUUCAGUUCGGACUGGGGUUUGCAACCCGACCCCAAGAAGGUGGAUUUGGUAGUAAUUGCGCAUCAGCCAUGGCGCGGUGAAUACGUUCCCGGGUCCUUGUACACACCGCCCGUC
rnacentral:rRNA from 1 species